rnacentral:rRNA from 1 species
CCUACGGGUGGCAGCAGUGAGGAAUAUUGGUCAAUGGGCGCGAGCCUGAACCAGCCAAGCAGCGUGAAGGAUGACUGCCCUACGGGUCGUAAACUUCUUUUAUAAAGGAAUAAAGUGAGGCACGCGUGCCUUUUUGUAUGUACUUUAUGAAUAAGAAUCGGCUAACUCCGUGCCAGCAGCCGCGGUAAUACGGCGGAUCCGAGCGUUAUCCGGAUUUAUUGUGUUUAAAGGGAGCGUAGAUGGGUUGUUAAGUCAGGUGUUAAAGUUUGCGGCUCAACCGUAAAAUUGCAAUUGAUACUGGCAGCCUUGAGUACAGUUGAGGUAGGCGGAAUUCGUGGUGUAGCGGUGAAAUGCUUAGAUAUCACGAAGAACUCCGAUUGCGAAGGCAGCUUACUAAACUGCCACUGACAUUGAUGCUCGAAAGUGUGGGUAUCAAACAGGAUUAGAUACCCUGGUAGUC